rnacentral:rRNA from 1 species
UAAUACGAAGGUGACAAGCGUUGUUCGGAAUCAUUGGGCGUAAAGCGCACGUAGGCGGGUUUGUAAGUCGAUUGUGAAAACCCUGGGCUCAACCCGGGAAUUGCAGUCGAAACUGCAAGUCUUGAAUGCUGGAGAGGAUGGUGGAAUUCCAGGAGUAGAAGUGAAAUUCGUAGAUAUCUGGAGGAACACCGGAGGCGAAAGCGGCCAUCUGGCCAGCCAUUGACGCUAAGGUGCGAAAGCGUGGGGAUCAAACAGGAUUAGAUACCCUGGUAGUCCACGCCUUAAACGAUGAAUACUAGAUGUUCGGAGAGUUAACCCUCUGAGUAUCAAAGCUAACGCAUUAAGUAUUCCGCCUGGGAAGUACGGCCGCAAGGUUG